rnacentral:rRNA from 1 species
GUGCCAGCAGCCGCGGUAAUUCCAGCUCCAAUAGCGUAUAUUAAAGUUGUUGUGGUUAAAAAGCUCGUAGUUGAACCUUGGGCCUGGCUGGCCGGUCCGCCUCACCGCGUGCACUGGUCCGGCCGGGCCUUUCCCUCUGUGGAACCCCAUACCCUUCACUGGGCGUGGCGGGGAAACAGGACAUUUACUUUGAAAAAAUUAGAGUGCUCCAGGCAGGCCUAUGCUCGAAUACAUUAGCAUGGAAUAAUAAAAUAGGACGCGCGGUUCUAUUUUGUUGGUUUAUAGGACCGCCGUAAUGAUUAAUAGGGACAGUCGGGGGCAUCAGUAUUCAACUGUCAGAGGUGAAAUUCUUGGAUCAGUUGAAGACUAACUACUGCGAAAGCAUUUGCCAAGGAUGUUUUCAUUAAUCAGGAACGAAAGUUAGGGGAUCGAAGACGAUCAGAUACCGUCGUAGUCUUAACCAUAAACUAUGCCGACUAGGGAUCGGACGGUGUUAUUCAUGACCCGUUCGGCACCUUACGAGAAAUCAAAGUGCUUGGGCUCCAGGGGGAGUAUGGUCGCAAGGCUGAAACUUAAAGAAAUUGACGGAAGGGCACCACCAGGGGUGGAGCCUGCGGCUUAAUUUGACUCAACACGGGGAAACUCACCAGGUCCAGACACAAUAAGGAUUGACAGAUUGAGAGCUCUUUCUUGAUUUUGUGGUGGUGAUGCAUGGCCGUUCUUAGUUGGUGGGGUGACUUGUCUGCUUAAUUGCGAUAACGAACGAGACCUU